rnacentral:lncRNA from 1 species
AGGUGUGACAGGCCCGUCACAGCCAGCACUGCAGCCUCUGCUAUCCCACACAGCGAUAUAUAGAUUUGUUCAUAGUUUUGGGUUUUUUUUUUUUUAAUAGUCUGGCCCGCCAGCUAUCUGAGCGACAGUGAAUUAACCUUCUGUGUAAAUUCUUUGAGCACCCCUGCUCUAGGGAAAUCUGUCCUAUAGAGAAGGAUUGGGGGUGUGAUUAAACACUAAAGACCUCUUUCCCACUGAAGACACUUCUAGGUCUCUCCUGAAAGAGGAGUGAUUCUGAACUACAAUGACAAAAUAGCCCCGGAAUCGCCAGUCUGAUGAGUUUGCAAAACCGACUAUCAAGAACAGUGGUCAUAUGAAGAGGCAAAAUAUCUUAAGCUCUCCUUUAGGCAUCAAUAUAAAUUGAAUGAGUUUGCAAAUGCUGUUUGAAUAUGAAGAGAUUUAUCUAACUGACAAGAGUGAGCAUUGGAAGUCAUGUGGAUUUCCAGCCAAGAUCCUCUAAACGCCUGCCUCUACUUCCCUUGGAUACUGAAUGCAUUGAGGAUUGAGACUCACCCAGUUAGACCAGUGAAGUUGAGGGCAAGUAAGAAGAGGCAAGUCAAAGGGGAGAAAGGGUAGACAGUAACACACGUAUGUGAAGAUGUGUGGUCCUUGAAGGGUGUGGCUGUGAGCAUAAGAGGGUUCAUUUCUAUUUUAGCAAAUCAUUUUAAAGUCUCUAUUUGAAGAUGAAGAGUCAUAUUACUGAUAGCCCUGUUACAUGAUUUCAAACCUUAGAUCUCAGGCACAGAAGAAAUCAUUUUUAAUCAUUUGACAUCAGCUUGGUAGGAAGGAUCCAAUGAAGAACACCUGGGAAAUCUCUUGCCUAGGAAUUUUGUCAUUUUUAUUUAUAGUUUCAAAAAAGGCACAUUGGUCAUUAACAAUUCAGGUGAAGCAAUGAUGGGAGAAGAGGUAACAGUCUAAAGAGAACAACAGGAACUGGAACCAUCUUUAAAGUCUAAAAACUGGGACAGAACGUGAGAAGAACUGGUAUUCUGUACACUGAAGCCUCCAAAAGAUUGGCUCAGUUCCUUCUCCUGCUUUAUGUAGUGGAUGUGGGAGAUAAGGAGGAUAUUUUCUGUUCUUUUCUGCACCAGGUUCUGAUUGGGUUCUCACAAAGGAGCUCCAGAAUGGCAAUCAAUGAAAAACGAGGAGGCAGGUAGAAGAAUGAGAAGUUUCAGAAAUUGUAGCAAUAUUUAAGGAGCCCUUUAAAAAGUUUCAGCUUCUAUUUAGGAAAGAAUCAAAUCCCUCAGUUAACACUUAACAGUGUUCAAACAGUCUCAGUUUGGAGUGAA